UAAUUAUGUCUUGUUUCAUAGUAGGGUCCAUUGGGUAUUGUGCGUCAUUGAUUUGUCGUCUUCAACAGUGUACUACAUGGAUUCAAUUAAUAAGGAAGUCCACUCACCCCUUAAACUCUUGAUUAAGACGUAAGUUUUUGGACUUUGAGCAUUAUUGUUUGAGCCCUUUUCUUAAUCAUGUUAUGUUGAUAGUACUUACAAGUAUUGCCUCUUUGAAAUGCAUUCAAAAUCUAUGACAGUAGUAAGGGAGUACGGAGUAGUCAAAUUAUUAAUUGGAAAACAGUCAAGUGCCCUAAACAACCUACAAAUGUGGAAUGUGGGUUCUAUGUAAUGAAAUACAUGAAAGAUUUGAUUAGAGAUGAGAGGAUCUUAAGCAGAGGAAAUGUAAGACUUAUUUUUAACUUGUAUUUCUUUAUAUUGCUUUAUGAAUAGAACUGUUAACUUGUAAGUAAUUUUUUUUUUCAAUCCAUUGCAGUUCAAUGGAAAAAAAACUUACACGAAAGCCGAAAUUGAUGAAGUGCGAGCCGAGUCGAUAAAGUCCAUCAUGAACGAAGUAUAAUCAACUUAUAUGUGCAUGCUCUGAGAAUGACGAAGUGCUUGAAAUUGGCUUUAGAGAAUGACGAGUGCUUGAAAUUGGCUUCAGAGAAUGACGAAGUUCUUGAAAUUGGCUUCAAAGAAUGAAGAAUUCAUUGUAGCUUAGGACAUAACUCCAUGCUUGUGGCUCAAUUAGUUUUCUUUGUCCUUUUUAUUGUUGAAGCUUUUGUUUUGCAGUUUUUAUGUAUUUUCCGAAAUUUGAUUGAUGUUAGAUUAAUUCAAAGUAGGCUUUUCGGCACGAUGUUUCUAUCUAUACAUGUUUUGUGC